AUUCUUCUCUCUCUAAACUGUAAUCUUUCUCUCUCUAGACUUCCCUUUCAGAAGUUCUUCCUUUGUGGGGUUUCUUAAUUCUUCAAUGCCUGACAACCAUCAUAAAGGCUAAAAGCAGUAUAAUCAUCCUCUUUAUCUGUGAGAAUUUCUUGUUCUUUUUAAGUUUCCAUUUUUUUCUAUUUUUGGAAAAAGAAUCAAUUUUUUUGGUUAUUUAGUUCAUUCGUUUAUGAAUUAUUUGGUUCUGUAGCGGUAUAUAUAUAUAUAUUUUGUUUGUUGGAUCAAAUAUCUGAUUUUGGUUGUUGAAACUGAUCUGGGUUUGGGGAGGAUUUGGAUUUGUGAUUGGUUUCUGUGUUAGGUAUUUAUGGGUGAUUUUCUUAACAGUGAUAGAAAAAUUGAAUAGUUUUGAAUUGUAUGGUUUUUGAAUUGAUUUGGGGUUGAUAGUGUUGGGUAGUUGAGAAUUAAUGGAAUAUUGAAGAUUGAAGUGAUGAGGCUUGGUUAUUAUUCUUUCAAUUUUGUUGAAACCGGAAAGGACAGCAUUUUUUAUGUACUUGGAGCAUUGUAACCUUUGGGAUUUCUAAUAAUUAUUCAUUCGGUUGAUUGACACUAUUUUGCUGCUUGGGUUUCAAACCUAAAUGUACAGGGUUUGGUUUGCCAGCCGAGUGUAUUGAGGUUUUGAUAGAGUUUGAACUGCUUCAGUUUCUUUUCAGUUUUCAUUCUUUCUUAGGAAAGGUGGUUACUUUAUUUUAAGGGACUCAGUUUAUGAUCUGUAAAGAAAUAUGGCUGCGGGUACUGAUUUCUCACCUGCAUUUACGGUAUUAAAAGGUGGUAACAACAAAGAUAACGUGUUUAUUAGAAAAGAGGAAAUCUCUGAGAAUUCAGAUGACUUGAAGCAGAUGACAACUGGAAGACCUCCACGGCAUCUCUCAGUUGUACGGCAUAGUAUAAGCUCUGCUACGAUAACGAGUGCUGUUGAUUUGGUAAGUAAAUCCACACGUGAUGUUUUAACUGUCUCAAGCUGAUGUUGAAGCUCUUAGUUGUUUCUCUGUGGUUUGUUAGGACCUUUAUGUUUAGUUACAGUUCUAAACUUCUGUUAAAUUCACGGAAGCAAAGCAAUUGAUAAAGCCAUUGAAGUUGAAGAACCAAGAUCAUUAUUUCCUUGAGUUUGGGUUCGCUUCAUAUUGCAUCAAAUUUGGAUAUUGCAUGGAACCCCAAUCGUCUUGUAAAAAAAUGUUACGUAUUAAAAAGUGAAAAUUUAUCAUAUUCUGGUUUAAAUCUUUUUCCUAUAAUGUGGCCAUGUUAGAUGGGAAGGAAUUUGUCAUAUUAAUGAUUUUAUAUUUCAGCUUACUUCAAUAGAUUACUGCACUAUGAAAAAGGUUUUGUCCAAUUUAACGGAUGUCAAAGGAU
rnacentral:lncRNA from 1 species